UACGAAGGGACUAGCGUUGUUCGGAUUUACUGGGCGUAAAGCGCGCGUAGGCGGAUCGCUAAGUCAGGGGUGAAAUCCCAGGGCUCAACCCUGGAACUGCCUUUGAUACUGACGAUCUGGAGAUCGGGAGAGGUUGGUGGAAUUCCGAGUGUAGAGGUGAAAUUCGUAGAUAUUCGGAGGAACACCAGAAGCGAAGGCGGCCAACUGGCCCGAUACUGACGCUGAGGCGCGAAAGCGUGGGAGCAAACAGG
rnacentral:rRNA from 1 species